rnacentral:rRNA from 1 species
GAUGAACGCUGGCGGCGUGCCUAAUACAUGCAAGUCGAGCGAACGGACGAGAAGCUUGCUUCUCUGAUGUUAGCGGCGGACGGGUGAGUAACACGUGGAUAACCUACCUAUAAGACUGGGAUAACUUCGGGAAACCGGAGCUAAUACCGGAUAAUAUUUUGAACCGCAUGGUUCAAAAGUGAAAGACGGUCUUGCUGUCACUUAUAGAUGGAUCCGCGCUGCAUUAGCUAGUUGGUAAGGUAACGGCUUACCAAGGCAACGAUGCAUAGCCGACCUGAGAGGGUGAUCGGCCACACUGGAACUGAGACACGGUCCAGACUCCUACGGGAGGCAGCAGUAGGGAAUCUUCCGCAAUGGGCGAAAGCCUGACGGAGCAACGCCGCGUGAGUGAUGAAGGUCUUCGGAUCGUAAAACUCUGUUAUUAGGGAAGAACAUAUGUGUAAGUAACUGUGCACAUCUUGACGGUACCUAAUCAGAAAGCCACGGCUAACUACGUGCCAGCAGCCGCGGUAAUACGUAGGUGGCAAGCGUUAUCCGGAAUUAUUGGGCGUAAAGCGCGCGUAGGCGGUUUUUUAAGUCUGAUGUGAAAGCCCACGGCUCAACCGUGGAGGGUCAUUGGAAACUGGAAAACUUGAGUGCAGAAGAGGAAAGUGGAAUUCCAUGUGUAGCGGUGAAAUGCGCAGAGAUGUGGAGGAACACCAGUGGCGAAGGCGACUUUCUGGUCUGUAACUGACGCUGAUGUGCGAAAGCGUGGGGAUCAAACAGGAUUAGAUACCCUGGUAGUCCACGCCGUAAACGAUGAGUGCUAAGUGUUAGGGGGUUUCCGCCCCUUAGUGCUGCAGCUAACGCAUUAAGCACUCCGCCUGGGGAGUACGACCGCAAGGUUGAAACUCAAAGGAAUUGACGGGGACCCGCACAAGCGGUGGAGCAUGUGGUUUAAUUCGAAGCAACGCGAAGAACCUUACCAAAUCUUGACAUUCUUUGACAACUCUAGAGAUAGAGCUUUCCCCUUCGGGGGACAAAGUGACAGGUGGUGCAUGGUUGUCGUCAGCUCGUGUCGUGAGAUGUUGGGUUAAGUCCCGCAACGAGCGCAACCCUUAAGCUUAGUUGCCAUCAUUAAGUUGGGCACUCUAAGUUGACUGCCGGUGACAAACCGGAGGAAGGUGGGGAUGACGUCAAAUCAUCAUGCCCCUUAUGAUUUGGGCUACACACGUGCUACAAUGGACAAUACAAAGGGCAGCGAAACCGCGAGGUCAAGCAAAUCCCAUAAAGUUGUUCUCAGUUCGGAUUGUAGUCUGCAACUCGACUACAUGAAGCUGGAAUCGCUAGUAAUCGUAGAUCAGCAUGCUACGGUGAAUACGUUCCCGGGUCU